rnacentral:rRNA from 1 species
CAGCCGCCGCGGUAACCCCAGCGCCACUAGUGGGAAUCGCUUUUAUUGGGUCUAAAGCAUCCGUAGCCGGUCUGUUAAAUGCUCUGUGAAAUCGUGGAGCUCAACUUCACGGUGUGCAGAGCACACUGACAGACUUGGGACCAGGAAAGGUAUUCGGUAUUCCGGGGGGAGCGGUAAAAUGUGAUAAUCCUCGGAGGACCACCAAUGGCGAAGGCAGAAUACUAGAAUGGAUCCGACGGUGAGGGAUGAAAGCUAGGGGAGCGAUCCGGAUUAGAUACCCGAGUAGUCCUAGCCGUAAACGCUGUCAGCCAGAUGUUGCACAAUCUUCGUGAUUGUGCAGUGUCGUAAUGAAGAUGUUAAGCUGACCACCUGGGGAGUAAGGUCGCAAGACUGAAACUUAAAGGAAUUGGCGGGGGAGCACCA